rnacentral:rRNA from 1 species
UACGUAGGGGGCAAGCGUUGUCCGGAUUUACUGGGCGUAAAGAGCGUGUAGGCGGCCAAGCAGGUCCGUUGUGAAAACUGGAGGCUUAACCUCCAGACGUCGACGGAAACCGCGUGGCUAGAGUCCGGAAGAGGAGAGUGGAAUUCCUGGUGUAGCGGUGAAAUGCGCAGAUAUCAGGAAGAACACCAAUGGCGAAGGCAGCUCUCUGGGACGGUACUGACGCUGAGACGCGAAAAGCGUGGGGAGCGAACAGG